UCGGAAGGAUCAUUAUAGAAAAUGACGUGAACUCUUAACGGAGUUCUCUCAAAGUGUUGGAGGGGAAGGCCUGCGCUUAAUUGCGCGGCUGUUUUUAAUCUCCUCCGCCUUUGAUACACACAUUGGAGUUUCUACUUUUUUGUUCUCUUUGGGAGGGUUCUGCUCUCCCAGAGGUAAACACAAACAAUCUUUUAUUAUACUAUUAACACAGUCAAAUGAAUUUUAAAAACAAAAUAUUCAAAACUUUCAACAACGGAUCUCUUGGUUCUCGCAUCGAUGAAGAACGCAGCGAACUGCGAUACGUAAUGUGAAUUGCAGAAUUCCGUGAAUCAUCGAAUCUUUGAACGCACAUUGCGCCCCUUGGUAUUCCGGGGGGCAUGCCUGUUUGAGCGUCAUUUCCCUCUCAAACUUUACGUUUGGUAGUGAGCGAUACUCUACUCUGGAGUUUGCUUGAAAAUGGGAGGCCAUAGGCGAAGCAUUGCUUUCCAAUCCUGCGGCCCUCUGCUUACUUCCCCUUGUGGGUUGUGGCAGGGGAAAGCGGGAGGCGCCUUGCCACGAUAGUCGUAUUAGGUUUUACCGACUCGGCGAAAGUGAAGAGGUUUGCUUUUUAAAAAGAAGCAGGCAGCGUCUGGCUUGACAAAAUUCUCAAAGUUUGACCUCAAAUCAGGUAGGAUUAC
rnacentral:misc_RNA from 1 species